ensembl:misc_RNA 7SK 7SK RNA
GGAUGUGAGGGAGAUCUGGCUGCGACAUCUGUCACCCCCUGGAUCACCGGGGUUGAUUGGGCGGAUCUGGCUGGCUAAGCGGGUGUCCCCUUCGCCCUCAUGGCUCCAUGUGCGUCCCCCCCGAGGCUGCGCCCUCGGCUGAAGAGGACGGCCUUCCCUGUUAGAGGAGGACCAUUCUUCUGCCAAGAGUAUACGAGUAGCCGGGCUCCCCUUGCUAGAACCUCCGAACAAGCUCUCAACGUCCAUUUGUAGGAGAACGUGACGCAGUCAAGUUUCCAAGACCCCAGACAUAUUAAAAAAAAAAAAAUUUU